GAAACCAACCCCGAAUCCAAAGUCUCGAUAAGGGUUUUUACUCAUUUUUUCCCUUCCCACGAAUAAAAAUUGAGAGUUCAAAGAUUGACGAUUUAAAUCAAUUAAUGGUUUGAUAUCCGAAAAUCAGGGAGCACAUUAGAGGAGAACCUGAAGGAGCAGAAGCCUUUGGAACCUAACAAACACUUUGUUAUAGAGGCAAUUCCGUUAAGGUCGGUGUUACCAAAUGCAAUAAUCGACUUGGAUAAUGUCCAAAAUGUGCAGACAAAGAAAAGAAAGAAGCAUGAUAUGCUUUAUUCUGGUGGCACAUACCCUGAGCGUAGGAGAGCUGUGAAGAAAUCAAAAUACCUUGCAAGCCCUUACGAUGAAGGUGUCUAUGAGUCAAAUGCAAGGAGGAGGUUUUGUAUUGCUCGGAUAACAAGGCUCAAGCUUUCAGUCUACAUAGGAGAGACUUAUGGUCACUUCAAAAAGAUGAAUGGGUGUCAUGCUUUGUGAUAAAUGCCUAGGUCAAUUGCUUGAACUGGAGUCAACCAAAUGAAAAAAUGACACGAAUGGUUACACCAUUCAUAAAUUAU